rnacentral:misc_RNA from 1 species
AACCGUGAAGUUUUGAUUUAGGGACUUCUGCGUGGCCGGCAUCCCUCUGCUUGUUAGUGUCUGAAAGUGUCACUAGCUCUGUACGGGUGGCGCAAUCACGAUCGCUAGAGGCCAACACGGCCGGCGACCAUGGGCCCUCGGCCCCCUAAUUGGCCACCAAACUCGAACAACUGUUAACAAUGGAUAUCUUGGUUCUC